rnacentral:rRNA from 1 species
AGACAGCAGUCGCCACGGUAAUACGAAGGGGGCUAGCGUUGUUCGGAAUUACUGGGCGUAAAGCGCACGUAGGCGGAUAUUUAAGUCAGGGGUGAAAUCCCGCAGCUCAACUGCGGAACUGCCUUUGAUACUGGGUAUCUUGAGUAUGGAAGAGGUUAGUGGAAUUGCGAGUGUAGAGGUGAAAUUCGUAGAUAUUCGCAGGAACACCAGUGGCGAAGGCGGCUAACUGGUCCAUAACUGACGCUGAGGUGCGAAAGCGUGGGGAGCAAACAGGAUUAGAUACCCCAGUAGUCCCUGUCUCUUAUAC